AAACUCACAGAGAUCCACCCAGCUCUGCUUCCUGAGUGCAGGGGUUAAAGACAGUAGCUGCCAGGCUCAGCUUUUUUCCCUUUGUUGAGAUAGAUUCUCUCACUGGCCUGGUUCUCACCAAAUCGCUUAGACUAACUGGACAGUGAGCCCCAGGUACCCAUUGGAUUCUGCCUCGCCAACACUAGGAGUGUAUGAGUGUAUAUCACCACGCCCAGCUUUAAACAAUUCAAAUGUGAGUGUUCUGAGCUCUUGAACUUAGGUCCUCAGGAUUUCCAAAGCUGUGAGCACCUUGCAGACCCAGCUCCUCACAGUCUCUUCUUUCUUGAGGAAGCAGUCACAUUAGAAAGCCUCUGCUCGCCGGUGCUCCUUCCUAGGUGAGGGGUUGCUGUGCCUCUGACAGCUGAGUGUGCUUCUGCACAGCCUCCGGAGCCCUCUCGCUGUGGGUUGGUGCUUCCUGUCUCAGCCUCCCAUUCAGAUGCCCACAGAGUUAUGAAGUGGACUAGUCCCAGGCUGCUGGGACUUCUGGCCUUUGUCAUGCCCCUGCCUCUUUGGUAUGGCAGACUUCUCUUUGGGAAUCCAGCUACACAAUGGUACCUCCAGGAAGCCUUCUCUAGUUUCCGUUAGUCUCAGGAGUGUGGACCAUUUCCUUCAUCCACGGGUUUCGUUGAGGUGUGGUGAUGCCCUGAGUUUCGUUCCUGGUCAUAGUGGGUGGGAAAGCAGAGCGCUUCCUACUUUGGGAGGGAGGGGCAAGAAAUCUUUCUUGGUUCCAUCUCACUACCAACUCCCUGUCUCUCUAUGAUGUAGGGAGUCUUCUUGGAAGCUGGAGUUCCUGUUCUAGAGACCCUGCAGGAUGUUGAUGGCAGUGACACUGUCACAGAGCCUGGAACCAUGCAGAUGCCUUUUGGGGGCUUAAAGCAGGUGGGGGCUGUGAGACAGGAUUGUCAAAGAAUGGCUCAGCGUCCUUCCCUUGAAAUGGAAGCCUGGCACUCCUGUUUAUGGACCAGACUGGGGGAGGGAAGGGUCCUGGGGGACAGUUUAGAUAAGCAGGGACAGCCACACAGAACCAGGGCCAUUCAGGGGGGUUAGAAAUGACAUAACGGUCUGAUGCUUCUGGCAUAGGAACUGGGAUCAACCAGAAGGUCAAGGUACAAGGCUGGUUUCCUAGGAGCUCAUGGAUUACAAGGGGGUCCGGGUUUCUCAGAAGGUCAGGGAUGGCAUAGGGACUUAGAUCUCCUGAAGAUUGGGAAUGACACAAAGGUUUGGGGUUCUCUGAGAGAUUAGGGAUCACACAGGAGUCUGAGGUUACUUAGGGAGGUCUGGAAUGACACAGGAGCCCAGAGUCUUUCACAGAGAUCACGUGGGGAAUAGUCCAGAGAGGUCAGGCUUUGAUCUGGACUUUGUCCCUGCUGAUGACCCAUGACAGUCUUCUGACCUAGUGGGUUUCUGUUUCCUUUUCUGAGAGAAUGGGGCAGAACAUGUGGCUGCCCGGAGACAAAUGGGAACAUUUGUACAGUGUGUCUUGAAUAUUUUCAUUAUCUCUGUCUUGGAUAGUCUUGACUGGAAGAGGAGAGCAGGGGAGGUUGAGGAUAUUUGAUAUUUGACCCCUGUGAAAGGGACAUUAGACCUCCAAAUGGGUGAGAGCCACAGGUUGAGAACCACCACUUUAUAAACAGGCCUAGAGAAGGUGAAGCACAGCUCAAGAACCCAGCUCUGCUGCCACUCGUGGAUGCUGAGAGACUCAGUUGAGGUGAGGACCCCAGCCCAGUCUGCAAGAACACAGAAAAAUAUUUACUCAAUGUGGCCAAAUUGAGGAGAAGGACAAAGAGAUCCAGAGACUGCUGCUUCCUCAAGUCCAUCUUCCAGCUCCUCAAAUGUGGAUAAAGCUCAUAUAGAAGUGCCGAAGAAGACAGAGCUGUGUGGAUCCCUCGAGGCAGACAACAGGGAACAGAGUGGUGAAACAGGUCAUCAGGCCAUGGAUGGAACAGGAUUCUCACAGUGAAAGCAGAAAUUAACAAAGGCUUCCUCAUGGCCUUACCAUUUGGUCCUCAGAAGCUCUGCGGACACUGGGAACCUUCACUGCUUUCCAGAACUGGUUAUGAAGUCCAUGGGAAGUGGAGCCUAGCUGGAGGAAGUUGGAGACGGGCUUUGAGGUUUAUAGCUGAGCCUCUCAUGUCCAGUUCUGCUGUGCUUCCUGGUCUGCAGGCAUGCAGCAAGCAUCCUUGGGCUCCUGCCGCCAUGCCUUCUCCACUGAGAUGGACUGUGCUCUCAAACAACAAGAGAGUUCAAGACGACUUUGGCAGCAGAUGGAUUUCUCUUUAAGAAUACACUGGAGAUACCCUCUGCCUGGUUUCUGGAGGUCUGUGCAGCUGACAUGGGAAAUGUGUGACCUUGAGCUCCUCUCCCACAAUUCCCUCUGGAGUACUUCACAGGAAGGACCUUGGCUAUUAGCCAGCAUCCUCUACACAGAGACAGAACCUGCUGCUAUUUUGUGCCUCCCUGGCCUCUGAUUCCUUGCAUGACUGGGUGCUUAAUGUGACACUUCUUAAUCUACAAAAUAAAAACAAGCCAGAACACGACUCACAUGCUUCCAAGGAAGUGGGUGGGAAGUCCCUAUGGGAAUGGCUGGGAAGAACUGUGGAAGAUGGCUUUGUUCCUUCUAUGGCCGGAAGUCACCUUACAUCAUUUAUGAAGUCACAGCUAUUUCAUGUAUGUCAACCUGUGUGGGUAAAGAUGUUGGCACCCUUCUGAGCACAGAGUGAAGAUCUGUGGUCUGCUUAUUUUUUUCUUCUUGACUCCUGGCACUUUGAUGGCUAGAAGAGUCUCAGAUUGUGCUUGUCAAAUCAGAAAACAAGGGAAAAUUGUAAGGGAAAUCAAAACAGUAAGUUUCCUUAAAGCCCCAUUCUCCAUAAUUAAAUUUUUCUUCCUUGGUGGUUCACCUUGUCAACUUGAUAGGAUUCAGACUUGAUAGGUGUUAUGGUUUGUAUAUGCUUAGCUCAGGGAGUGGCACUAUUAGAAGGUGUGGCCCUGUUAUAGUAGGUGUGGCCUUGUCAGAGUGGGUGUGUCACUGUGGCUGUGGGCUUUAAGACCCUCAUUGUAGCUGCCUGGAAGCCAGUAUUCUGCUGGCAGCCUUCAGAUGAAGAUGUAGAACUCUCAGCUCCUCCUGAACCAUGCCUGCCUGGAUGCUGCCAUGUUCCCACCUUGAUGAUAAUGGACUGAACCUCUGAACCUGUAAACCAGCCCCAAUUAAAUGUUGUCCUUUAUAUGA